rnacentral:tRNA from 1 species
CAAGAACUAGUUUAAUAAAAACAGCUGUUUUGGGGACAGCCGAUACAGAGCUUCUUUUGUGUUCUUGA